UAAGGAAUAUUGGACAAUGGAGGCAACUCUGAUCCAGCCAUGCCGCGUGAAGGAAUAAGGCCCUAUGGGUUGUAAACUUCUUUUAGACGGGACAAAACCCCUUUACGUGUAAAGGGUUGAUGGUACUGUCAGAAUAAGCCCCGGCUAACUACGUGCCAGCAGCCGCGGUAAUACGUAGGGGGCAAGCGUUGUCCGGAUUUACUGGGUGUAAAGCGUGCGCAGGCGGUUUUGUAAGACAGAUGUGAAAUCCCCGGGCUUAACCUGGGAACUGCGUUUGUGACUGCAAGGCUGGAGUACGGCAGAGGGGGGUGGAAUUCCACGUGUAGCAGUGAAAUGCGUAGAGAUGUGGAGGAACACCGAUGGCGAAGGCAGCCCCCUGGGCCUGUACUGACGCUCAUGCACGAAAGCGUGGGGAGCAAACA
rnacentral:rRNA from 1 species